GUGGGGAAUAUUGCACAAUGGGCGCAAGCCUGAUGCAGCGACGCCGCGUGAGGGAUGACGGCCUUCGGGUUGUAAACCUCUUUCAGUACAGAACAAGGCCUUCGGGUUGAGGGUAUGUGCAGAAGAAGCGCCGGCUAACUACGUGCCAGCAGCCGCGGUAAUACGUAGGGCGCGAGCGUUGUCCGGAAUUAUUGGGCGUAAAGAGCUCGUAGGCGGUUUGUCGCGUCUGCCGUGAAAUCCUCUGGCUUAACUGGGGGCGUGCGGUGGGUACGGGCAGACUGGAGUGCGGUAGGGGAGACUGGAAUUCCUGGUGUAGCGGUGGAAUGCGCAGAUAUCAGGAGGAACACCGGUGGCGAAGGCGGGUCUCUGGGCCGUUACUGACGCUGAGGAGCGAAAGCAUGGGGAGCGAACAGG
rnacentral:rRNA from 1 species